GCUAUACCGUCUACCGACUGGUUUUGUUACUUUAAGAUUCAAUUAAUGACCAUGAAUUUAAGUUAAUUAGGUGUUUGUAUUAUAAUGUACUAAUUUGUAUUCAAAUUUGUAUGCUAACGUUGGAAAUGUCAUACGGGACAAUACCAUGAGAUUGAGUUGAAUACUUAAAAUAAACAUAACCUUCAAUUUAA